UUUCACCGAGCCGAGCCAGAGCGGACGGCCGGGAUCGCGUUGCCUGCCGUAGGUGGCGUGCAACGCCUCGAUCUC
rfam:Nocardia brasiliensis ATCC 700358, complete genome.